AUGUAGAGGAGUGCGGAAAUCAUGUACGACCGGGCUAAACGCUUGUGCGUGACUGAAGAUCCGGUCAAACACUUGUGCCAAUACGUGCGUUUAUCAUGGUAGGUAAGCGUUGCCUGAGCAGCAAUUGAAAGAUAAACAGAAACACUUCCAUUGCAAAGUUAAACCUGGAUUUACGGAACAGAUUGCAACAUUUUCAUCAGCGAAUGAGAGAGCGCGGAGUACGGAUACAGAGGAUUUUACGGUGUGACGGGUAUUCCGGUUGAUUAUAGAUACACCUUGAACCACUCGGAAUUUUCUACAUUUAUGAACAGAUGACGCGGGUACAGCGACAUGAUUUAUUUACCUAUACAAUCUCUUAAGUAGUAAAUAUGUCUAGCAAUUCAGACCUGUGGUACCACAGACAAACCUGAGGUUUUGUGCUUGUGUUAAUACACAUACCUAGUUUCUUAAGCUUGAGAGUAAGAUUAUUAUUAUUGGCUCAUAGCAUAAAAUGUUAAUUUCAUAUUACAAUUAGUCUUCACCAUAUAUUUGAAUAUGCACAGGGAAUACUUCUUGAAGUGUUCGCUUCAAGAAAUAUGCCCUGUGUGUAAUAUACAUUGGUGACAAUAAGCACUCAAUAAAACAGCAUAGAUAUCUGUGAUACUGUACAAGAUUCUUUGUUUUACACUAAAAUUGCGACCAAAUAGUACGAAUGAAAAUAUCGAAAAUAUAUGUUGACUUACUCUCGUUUUAAUAUAGCAGGUAGUACAUUUAUGAAAUGAGUUAUAACAAUUUUACUUCAUGGAUUAUAUGGUUACAAUGUGUACAUCUUGCACUAUGCACUUGCACGUUCGUUUAAUGUGUGCAAUAUGUACCCCAGGCAAAUUUGCGUAUGUAACAUGAAACUAUAAUCCUUCACUCAACCGCUGAAGCUGGUUUAUAAACAAAGCAGUUGCUUGGUAUCCAGUGGUGAUGACUAAAUUUCGGAAACAUGGAAUGAUACCUCCGUUACGAGAUAACAAAACUUUUUUCGUAAUU